UAAUCCCAGGCUGGCAAUGUUAACAUCUGAGGCCCUCAGAGACACAGAGGACCCAGGGGUCCCCAAAAGACCUGCCAGGGACUGGCCAGAGGCCACGCAGCUGUGGUGGGUCAGUGUAGUAAUUUGCAUAAUUCAUAAUUGUUAACAUUACUAUGGGUGGGGUGGAUGUGGGCCACCCUUGAGGACCCCCAACUGGACAAAGGACUCCAUACCUUUCCCCUCCCCCAGGCGAUUCAAUAGUGAUUACAAUAAUAACAACAGCUCACACUGAUUGAACACUUAAUGUAUGAGAGUGUCUGGCUCGUUUGACCCUCACAGUGACCUUCAAGGGACCACUGUAACACACAGUCUGCAGAUGACAACCUCCAGUUCCCCAUCACUGAGCUUAAGUAACCUGCUCAAGCAGCUGCUAUGCAAUAGAGCCUCGACCUGAACGCAGAUCUGAUUCCUCAAUAAGUGCUUUUUUCUCCACGUCACGCUGUGAAAGUAACCGACUGGGACUGCCUUGACCGGGACGAUGGCGGCAGAGGAGCAGAGAGAGGCUCAUGGCGCCUUAUUGCUGCCCAAAGAGAAACCUGCCCCUGACACAGGAGAGCCCCUGUGCUUCCUCGAUCUCACUUUACCUGAAAUAAAGCUACGCCGUGAACAAGCUUGAACUGAUAUUCUCCGUCGCGGUCGGCACCUCAGAGGGAGCAGAGGGAGCAUGCGUGCGCCCGGCUGCCCAGGGGACAGCUGGAAGCAGGUCAUUCCUUCCCCUCACACUUCCACCAGGCUUCACGUUUCUUUUGAAUAUCCUGCUUUCAGCUGCAACUUUCAUAUGCCUUUUUAAUUCUACUCCAUAAUGUAUCCAUAUCUUAGAAAAAUAGAAUUGAGGCCACACCCCUGCCAACAUGAUGAAUAGGAGUCACAUUUCCUGACCUCUUGGUUUUAUUUAAGCUGUUGGCUUUUGUGUCCUCUAAUUCCACAGGCUGCUUUGUGUUUUCAGAAAAGAAAAAAAAAAAGAAAUCAGAACACAUG